GUCUCAAAGAUUAAGCCAUGCAUGUCUAAGUACAAGCCUCACUAAGGUGAAACCGCGAAUGGCUCAUUAAAUCACACCUAAUCUACUGGAUAGUUAACAGUUACUUGGAUAACUGCGGUAAUUCUGGAGCUAAUACAUGCACAAAGCCCCGAACUUACGUGAGGGGCGCUUUUAUUAGAUCAAAACCAAACGGCUUCGGCUGUUCUCUUGGUGACUCUGAAUAACUUUGGGCUGAUCGCAUAGCCUAGCGCUGGCGACAUAUCCUUCGAAGGUGUGCCCUAUCAACUGUCGACUGUGGCAUAGACGCCCACAGUGGUUUUGACGGGUAACGGGGAAUCAGGGUUCGAUUCCGGAGAGGGAGCCUUAGAAACGGCUACCACAUCUAAGGAAGGCAGCAGGCACGCAAAUUACCCAAUGACCGAAGGUCGAGGUAGUGACGAAAAAUAACGAUACGGGACUCAUCUGAGGCCCCGUAAUCGGAAUGAGUACACUUUAAAACCGUCCCCGAGGAUCUAUUGGAGGGCAAGUCUGGUG
rnacentral:rRNA from 1 species